rnacentral:rRNA from 1 species
UACAGAGGGUGCGAGCGUUAAUCGGAAUUACUGGGCGUAAAGCGCGCGUAGGCGGCUUUGCAAGUCGGGUGUGAAAUCCCCAGGCUUAACCUGGGAACUGCAUUCGAGACUGCAUUGCUAGAGUAUGGGAGAUGGGAAGUGGAAUUUCCGGUGUAGCGGUGAAAUGCGUAGAUAUCGGAAGGAACAUCAGUGGCGAAAGCGACUUCCUGGACCAAUACUGACGCUCAUGAUGCGGAAAGCGUGGGGAGCAAAACAGG